rnacentral:rRNA from 1 species
GAGGUGGCAAGCGUUGUUCGGAAUUACUGGGCGUAAAGGGCGCGUAGGCGGCCCACUAAGUCAGACGUGAAAUCCCCCGGCUUAACCUGGGAACUGCGUCUGAUACUGGGGGGCUAGAGUUCGGGAGAGGAGAGUGGAAUUCCCAGUGUAGAGGUGAAAUUCGUAGAUAUUGGGAAGAACACCGGUGGCGAAGGCGGCUCUCUGGACCGAUACUGACGCUGAGGCGCGAAAGCGUGGGGAGCAAACAGGA